UUAAGCGACUAAGCGUACACGGUGGAUGCCCUGGCAGUCAGAGGCGAUGAAGGACGUGCUAAUCUGCGAAAAGCGUCGGUAAGGUGAUAUGAACCGUUAUAACCGGCGAUGUCCGAAUGGGGAAACCCAGUGCAAUUCGUUGCACUAUCGUUAACUGAAUACAUAGGUUAACGAGGCGAACCGGGGGAACUGAAACAUCUAAGUACCCCGAGGAAAAGAAAUCAACCGAGAUUCCCCCAGUAGCGGCGAGCGAACGGGGAGCAGCCCAGAGUCUGAAUCAGCUUGUGUGUUAGUGGAACGGUCUGGAAAGUCCGACGGUACAGGGUGAUAGUCCCGUACACCAAAAUGCACAGGCUGUGAACUCGAAGAGUAGGGCGGGACACGUGGUAUCCUGUCUGAAUAUGGGGGGACCAUCCUCCAAGGCUAAAUACUCCUGACUGACCGAUAGUGAACCAGUACCGUGAGGGAAAGGCGAAAAGAACCCCGGCGAGGGGAGUGAAAAAGAACCUGAAACCGUGUACGUACAAGCAGUGGGAGCACCUUCGGGUGUGACUGCGUACCUUUUGUAUAAUGGGUCAGCGACUUAUAUUCUGUAGCAAGGUUAACCGUAUAGGGGAGCCGCAGGGAAACCGAGUCUUAACUGGGCGUUAAGUUGCAGGGUAUAGACCCGAAACCCGGUGAUCUAGCCAUGGGCAGGUUGAAGGUUGGGUAACACUAACUGGAGGACCGAACCGACUAAUGUUGAAAAAUUAGCGGAUGACUUGUGGCUGGGGGUGAAAGGCCAAUCAAACCGGGAGAUAGCUGGUUCUCCCCGAAAGCUAUUUAGGUAGCGCCUCGUGAAUUCAUCUUCGGGGGUAGAGCACUGUUUCGGCUAGGGGGUCAUCCCGACUUACCAACCCGAUGCAAACUACGAAUACCGAAGAAUGUUAUCACGGGAGACACACGGCGGGUGCUAACGUCCGUCGUGAAGAGGGAAACAACCCAGACCGCCAGCUAAGGUCCCAAAGUCAUGGUUAAGUGGGAAACGAUGUGGGAAGGCACAGACAGCCAGGAUGUUGGCUUAGAAGCAGCCAUCAUUUAAAGAAAGCGUAAUAGCUCACUGGUCGAGUCGGCCUGCGCGGAAGAUGUAACGGGGCUAAACCAUGCACCGAAGCUGCGGCAGCGACACUAUGUGUUGUUGGGUAGGGGAGCGUUCUGUAAGCCUGCGAAGGUGUGCUGUGAGGCAUGCUGGAGGUAUCAGAAGUGCGAAUGCUGACAUAAGUAACGAUAAAGCGGGUGAAAAGCCCGCUCGCCGGAAGACCAAGGGUUCCUGUCCAACGUUAAUCGGGGCAGGGUGAGUCGACCCCUAAGGCGAGGCCGAAAGGCGUAGUCGAUGGGAAACAGGUUAAUAUUCCUGUACUUGGUGUUACUGCGAAGGGGGGACGGAGAAGGCUAUGUUAGCCGGGCGACGGUUGUCCCGGUUUAAGCAUGUAGGCUGGUUAUCCAGGCAAAUCCGGAUAAUCAAGGCUGAGGUGUGAUGACGAGGCACUACGGUGCUGAAGUAACAAAUGCCCUGCUUCCAGGAAAAGCCUCUAAGCAUCAGGUAACAUUAAAUCGUACCCCAAACCGACACAGGUGGUCAGGUAGAGAAUACCAAGGCGCUUGAGAGAACUCGGGUGAAGGAACUAGGCAAAAUGGUGCCGUAACUUCGGGAGAAGGCACGCUGGUGUGUAGGUGAAGUCCCUGCGGAUGGAGCUGAGACCAGUCGAAGAUACCAGCUGGCUGCAACUGUUUAUUAAAAACACAGCACUGUGCAAACACGAAAGUGGACGUAUACGGUGUGACGCCUGCCCGGUGCCGGAAGGUUAAUUGAUGGGGUUAUCCGUAAGGAGAAGCUCUUGAUCGAAGCCCCGGUAAACGGCGGCCGUAACUAUAACGGUCCUAAGGUAGCGAAAUUCCUUGUCGGGUAAGUUCCGACCUGCACGAAUGGCGUAAUGAUGGCCAGGCUGUCUCCACCCGAGACUCAGUGAAAUUGAACUCGCUGUGAAGAUGCAGUGUACCCGCGGCAAGACGGAAAGACCCCGUGAACCUUUACUAUAGCUUGACACUGAACAUUGAGCCUUGAUGUGUAGGAUAGGUGGGAGGCUUUGAAGCGUGGACGCCAGUCUGCGUGGAGCCAACCUUGAAAUACCACCCUUUAAUGUUUGAUGUUCUAACGUUGGCCCCUUACCGGGGUUGCGGACAGUGUCUGGUGGGUAGUUUGACUGGGGCGGUCUCCUCCCAAAGCGUAACGGAGGAGCACGAAGGUUAGCUAAUCCUGGUCGGACAUCAGGAGGUUAGUGCAAUGGCAUAAGCUAGCUUGACUGCGAGCGUGACGGCGCGAGCAGGUGCGAAAGCAGGUCAUAGUGAUCCGGUGGUUCUGAAUGGAAGGGCCAUCGCUCAACGGAUAAAAGGUACUCCGGGGAUAACAGGCUGAUACCGCCCAAGAGUUCAUAUCGACGGCGGUGUUUGGCACCUCGAUGUCGGCUCAUCACAUCCUGGGGCUGAAGUAGGUCCCAAGGGUAUGGCUGUUCGCCAUUUAAAGUGGUACGCGAGCUGGGUUUAGAACGUCGUGAGACAGUUCGGUCCCUAUCUGCCGUGGGCGCUGGAGAAUUGAGGGGGGCUGCUCCUAGUACGAGAGGACCGGAGUGGACGCAUCACUGGUGUUCGGGUUGUCAUGCCAAUGGCACUGCCCGGUAGCUAAAUGCGGAAGAGAUAAGUGCUGAAAGCAUCUAAGCACGAAACUUGCCCCGAGAUGAGUUCUCCCUGAGACUUUAAGUCUCCUGAAGGAACGUUAAAGACGAUGACGUUGAUAGGCCGGGUGUGUAAGCGCAGCGAUGCGUUGAGCUAACCGGUACUAAUGAACCGUGAGGCUUAACCUU
rnacentral:rRNA from 1 species